GCACAGUCCUCUAGAACAGAAAAAAGUUGAGGUGGGGGAUUAGAACUCCACUCACUUACAAUAUUACCAUUUCUAGUUUUAACUGCAACCCAGUUUGCACAUUCAUUUGCUGAUCUUGGAGAGAAGAAAACUUGCAUACUAGGAUGAAGCUGCAUUUAGACUUUUAAUUUCAUGAAUGAUAGCCGCUAAUUCCCAAGGAAUAGGAGCUAGUGGAGUCCAGAUAAGCUGAACAAUUUGAUUAGAAUCUGUAUGGACGUGACAGAAUUGAAAACCUCUGCUGAUAGCAAAUAACAGAGCAGCUCUUGCUACUGUCCCUUCUGCCGCUACUGGUGAGAUGUAAGAGAACUUCGCUGCACACCCAUCCAAAAGUCUACCUUCUGAAUUCCUAGCAACAGCCCCAUAACCUGCUUCACGUGCCACAUAAUUGAAAGAAGCAUCUGUAUUUAUCUCGAUAACUCCCAUUGGAGGAGGGCUCCAACGCCCAUAAUCAGACCUUAUAUGAGUAGGAGAUGAGAGCCAAGAAUGGUGUUGCGGAAACGAAAUAUUA
rnacentral:misc_RNA from 1 species